rnacentral:rRNA from 1 species
CGGAGGGGCUAGCGUUGUUCGGAAUUACUGGGGCGUAAAGCGCACGUAGGCGGCUUUGUAAGUCAGGGGUGAAAGCCUGGAGCUCAACUCCAGAACUGCCUUUGAGACUGCAUCGCUUGAAUCCGGGAGAGGUGAGUGGAAUUCCGAGUGUAGAGGUGAAAUUCGUAGAUAUUCGGAAGAACACCAGUGGCGAAGGCGGCUCACUGGACCGGAAUUGACGCUGAGGUGCGAAAGCGUGGGGGAGCAAACAGGAUU